rnacentral:rRNA from 1 species
UACGGGGGGAGCAAGCGUUGUUCGGAUUUACUGGGCGUAAAGGGCGCGUAGGCGGUCAGCACAAGUCAGUUGUGAAAUCUCCGGGCUUAACUCGGAAACUGCCAUUGAUACUAUCUGUCUUGAAUAUCGUGGAGGUAAGCGGAAUAUGUCAUGUAGCGGUGAAAUGCUUAGAUAUGACAUAGAACACCAAUUGCGAAGGCAGCUUACUACCCGAAUAUUGACACUGAUGCACGAAAGCGUGGGGAUCAAACAGG